rnacentral:rRNA from 1 species
CCUACGGGAGGCAGCAGUGGGGGAUAUUGCACAAUGGGGGAAACCCUGAUGCAGCGACGCCGCGUGGGCGAAGAAGUCUUUCGGUAUGGAAAGCCCUAUCUGCAGGGAAGAAGAAAUGACGGUACCUGAGUAAGAAGCACCGGCUAAAUCCGUGCCAGCCGCCGCGGUAAUACGGAUGGUGCAAGCGUUAUCCGGAUUUACUGGGUGUAACGGGAGCGCAGGCGGGACGGCAAGCCUGAUGGGAAAGCCCGCGGCCCAACCGCGGGACUGCAUUGGGAACUGCCGGGCUUGAGUGCCGGAGAGGUAGGCGGAAUUCGUGGUGUAGCGGUGAAAUGCGUAGAUAUUAGGAGGAACACCGGUGGCGAAGGCGGCCUACUGGACGGUGACUGACGCUGAGGCUCGAAAGCGUGGGGAGCAAACAGGAUUAGAUACCCCUGUAGUC